rnacentral:rRNA from 1 species
CAGAUCCUACGGGAGGCAGCAGUGAGGAAUAUUGGUCAAUGGACGCAAGUCUGAACCAGCCAAGUAGCGUGCAGGAUGACGGCCCUCCGGGUUGUAAACUGCUUUUAGUUGGGAAUAAAAGGGGGCUCGUGAGCCCCGUAUUGUAUGUACCAUCAGAAAAAGGACCGGCUAAUUCCGUGCCAGCAGCCGCGGUAAUACGGAAGGUCCGGGCGAUAUCCGGAUUUAUUGGGUUUAAAGGGAGCGUAGGCCGGCUUAUAAGACAGCUGUGAAAGUCCGCGGCUCAACCGUGAAAU